UAUGAGAACAAGAAGAUGUUGUUUUGGGAGUUUCUAAAACAAAGUGAAAACACGGAGAAAUAUGCGGAGAACACUGUUCUCCACUUAAAAAAAGGAAGCGGCAUCUUUUAACCCUAUCUCGGACAUAAUAGCCUUUUAUGCCUCCUCCUCUAAAACGGCUCUGCAACACCUCUCUUCUCUCCAGGGCAUCUCGUUCCUUUCUACGGCUUCUCUCUCCUCUCUACCGCUUCUCUCUACAAGAUCGCUGCACUUUUUUCCUCUACAUCCAGACUCUUGCUCAUAUUUUUUUGAGGUCAUGUUCCUUUGAAUCCUUACUCAUCUCCUUCAGAAUUAGCUUUCGAAGAUAUUGUCACACAAAUAUCACCGAGUCUCUCAAUGGAUUAAUCGGAAGCCUCUUGUAACCAAUACUUCGAAAGUUCUCCUCAGCGAUGUUUACAGAGUCAUUCAGACAAAAGUGUCAUAUGAACUACGUACAACCUCUUGGCUUACAUUGAAGAUGAAGAUGCCACAUGACUCAUACAUAACAAUGGAGGCUUUCGUUUGAUGGGACUUACGGGCAAUUCUCUUCAAAGAUGGACAAAUUUAGGUGAAAUGUGCGUCAGAAUAUUACACAUGCUGAAUCUCAACUGAAAAAGACAUCAGUCCCAUCAUUGGUGAAUGCAAAACCAAGAUGAAAUGUUAAACAUUUUGAGCAAUCAAAUGUAAAAAGAAAAGAAAAAUUGUUAUAUAUAUAUAUUCCUUGAGGAAUGUUGUAGGAA